GACGUAGGGCGCAAGCGUUGUCCGGAUUUACUGGGCGUAAAGGGCUCGUAGGCGGCCAACUAAGUCAGACGUGAAAUCCCCAGGCUCAACCUGGGAACUGCGUCUGAUACUGGAUGGCUUGAAUCCGGGAGAGGGAUGCAGAAUUCCAGGUGUAGCGGUGAAAUGCGUAGAUAUCAGGAGGAACACCGGUGGCGAAGGCGGGUCUCUGGGCCGUUACUGACGCUGAGGAGCGAAAGCGUGGGGAGCGAACAGG
rnacentral:rRNA from 1 species